rnacentral:misc_RNA from 1 species
UUCCUUCGCGAUGCCGGUGCCGCGUGCGCCCAACGCCACUAGGGUCGAAAGGCCACCACGGACGUGACAAUCGUGCAAAACUAGCAAAUAGAGCUAUAAUGUCGGACGUUCAAAGGCUAUAAAACCCACGCCCACAUAUUCCGCAUCCGAGGGGACGAGUAGGCACACACGGACCGUAGCUGCCACACAACAAGUUGAUGGUCGCCGGGGACGCGUGUGCUACUUUGAUGUCCUCCUCGCACCCGCUGAGGGCACAAGGAGGAAAGGGGCAACGUUGGCAACUAAUUCCGUCAUAUUAGGUAUGCAACACAAGAACCCAAGAGGCUCAAGAGACACAUGGCCCUCCAAGCAAAACAAUGAGAGGUAGCGGAGCGUAGACAGUUCGAUGCCCAGAGAAC